GAAAAUUCCUGACUUUGUUUUAUUCAGUGUAAACAUCCAGAACAGUCUCUGUGGCUUGUAAGAGGCAUGGAGUUUAAAAAUAAAUACAUAAAAAAAAGAAAAAAUCAACUUGUCAGUGUAAAGGUUGAGAGCCGCUUGUUUGGCUGGUGAUCAAAAUAAUAAGCACAAAAUUUUUUUUUGUUUUGUCAUAAAAUGAUUAUUUGCGAAUCUGAGCUUGGCUGUCUGAAAUUGAUAAAACAUUAAAACUAUAUAUAUAUUUUUUUUAAUUUUAAAAUGUACACAUCACAAGCACCUGAAUCCACCAUAUCAUGACUUGCACUGUUUCCCUCUCACGACAUUUCAUUGAAGAUGUUACGGUACAAUUAUUAUAACAAAUGCAGAACUAUUAUUUGAGUGUUAAACACAUAUUUCAAAGGGAACAUUUACAGAUAUCUGUGGAAAAGAAAGUAGAAGAAGAACAUGAUUAAAAAACACUGUUGGUGGGGUUAUAUACAGGUGAAAGGAAAUAAGAAACUUUAGGGAGUGAGAGAAGAGCAAGACAGCACUUCAUUCUGGUGAGGGAGCUUUUUUUGGGGGGGGGGGAGAAGACAUCUGGCUGAAUUUGGUUUGAUACCUGAGGUACAUCUUUUACAUUUGUAGCCCAUAUUUGUUUUUGAUUUCUCCUGCCGCUGGUGGAUGUCACGUUCUCUACACCUCUGGUCUCCAAGGUAACUGUUGGUGAAGGAAUCAUGGAAAUUCACAAUAAUCCUGGAAAAACCAAGUUGUGAAAAUGGGCGUUUCUGUGGCGCAUUGUGUUUUUAAGGGGUUUGUCAAUCUCCCUUUUGUUUUUUGAGUAGUGCAAUAACAUCAAGCAUUAUCAAUGAAAACUUAGAAUGGAAAGAAAAGCAGGAAAAGCGAUUUACACAAACAUAAGGAUUGUAAUAGUACCUGGCAUACUUUUAAAAGAGUAUUAAAA